rnacentral:piRNA from 1 species
UGCCUCACUAUCAAGGGCAAUGGGUGAAA